rnacentral:rRNA from 1 species
GUGGGGAAUUUUGGACAAUGGGGGCAACCCUGAUCCAGCAAUGCCGCGUGUGUGAAGAAGGCCUUCGGGUUGUAAAGCACUUUUGUCCGGAAAGAAAACCGCUUCUCUAAUACAGAGGUGGGAUGACGGUACCGGAAGAAUAAGCACCGGCUAACUACGUGCCAGCAGCCGCGGUAAUACGUAGGGUGCGAGCGUUAAUCGGAAUUACUGGGCGUAAAGCGUGCGCAGGCGGUUCGCUAAGACCGAUGUGAAAUCCCCGGGCUUAACCUGGGAACUGCAUUGGUGACUGGCGGGCUAGAGUAUGGCAGAGGGGGGUAGAAUUCCACGUGUAGCAGUGAAAUGCGUAGAGAUGUGGAGGAAUACCGAUGGCGAAGGCAGCCCCCUGGGCCAAUACUGACGCUCAUGCACGAAAGCGUGGGGAGCAAACAGGAUUAGAUACCCCAGUAGUCCC